rnacentral:rRNA from 1 species
UACGGAGGGUGCAAGCGUUAUCCGGAUUCACUGGGUUUAAAGGGUGCGUAGGCGGCCCGUUAAGUCAGUGGUGAAAGCCUCCAGCUCAACUGGAGAACUGCCAUUGAUACUGGCGGGCUUGAGUACAGACGAGGUUGGCGGAAUUGAUUGUGUAGCGGUGAAAUGCGUAGAGAUGUGGAGGAACACCAGUGGCGAAGGCGACUUUCUGGCUUAUAACUGACGCUGAGGCGCGAAAGCGUGGGGAGCAAACAGG